rnacentral:rRNA from 1 species
CCGCAGCGAUUCUGACGUGCAAAUCGAUCGUCAAACUUGGGUAUAGGGGCGAAAGACUAAUCGAACCAUCUAGUAGCUGGUUCCCUCCGAAGUUUCCCUCAGGAUAGCUGGCGCUCGUCACAACAGUUUUAUCCGGUAAAGCGAAUGAUUAGAGGCCUUGGGGACGAAACGUCCUCAACCUAUUCUCAAACUUUAAAUGGGUAAGGAGUCGGACUCGCUCGAUUUUGGAGUCCGGA